rnacentral:rRNA from 1 species
GGGUCUUGGGAUAUUUGGGGUUAAGCGUCCUUGGGUUUGAAUAGUACUAGGCUGGGUGACCUCCCGGGAAGUCCAAACUCAGGAGCUC